rnacentral:misc_RNA from 1 species
CGGCCAUCAAUCACGCAUGAGCAAUUGGAAUAAAAGAACAAGCACAAAUCAUCAACAGUUUAUCUGGCAUACAACAUCUUAAAUGACGUGUGUUUCACUGGUUAAAGAAAUUCUAGAUAACAUAUAGUUCACAUGCUGGUAGCUCUCAACUCAAUUCACGAGCUAGUUUAAUGAAAAUUAUAACUGAUAGCCAGUAGCACAUCUCUCAGGAAGCUAAGCAUGCAUGAGUUGGGAACCACUAGGGACAAACAAGAUUCAAAAACCCACCCCAUAAAAAUCAAUCCACCCAAUCCAUUUAAGAUUCAAUAUAAAACCAAAACAUCCUUUAUUUUGUCAAAGAAGUUAUUGAUGUCAGGAAUUGGAUUAUGCAUUGAUUUCUUCAAAAAUUAUAUCUUGCUGGGUGCUGAGGAACAUGAGACUUGUUUUCUG